UCUAGAGAGGACAGAGUUCCCAAAUUGGAAUUCCGAGUUGGAUGACAGUUCAAAACAAUUUUUUUUCCAGUCGGAGCAUUGUUUAUUUCCCCAAGUCUGAGAUUUUCGAGUUUCCAGUUGUUUUGAACGCGGCAUAAGAACUAGAGACUGCCUCCAAGAUGUCCGACCAUUGUUUCAACGUAAUCUAUUUACCAUCGCAGAUGUCGUCCGGGGCUGACAUCUCGCUAGUUCCGGUCUCAGGAGCCCAUUGGUACAUGCGCAUUAGCACUCGAGCCCCGCGCGAGCUAGAGCUGGUCGUGGAUUUUGAUUAGUGGGGGAUGGGAAAUGUGCAGGCACAAAGCACCACCACACAACCAACAACCACUGGAAACAUGAAGAACAUGUAUGCAAGUUUCCUCAUUUCCAUACGACCGUGACGUCAUCAUUUGUGCUGCUGGCAGAAUACCGGUGGACGUAUUACACGGAUGUCAACAAACUAGCGAUUUGAACGAUUUUUUCCCCUCAUGAAAUAAUCCAUAAGUGACGACUAAACGGCUACUAUGCCUUACCUGGGCGGAGAGCAUACAGUGAGGGAGCUGAAGAGAGCUCUGUCCAACCCUAACGUCCAAGCUGACCACCUACGCUACAGAAACACCAUCCACAGAGUCAUCAGGUGUACACAACUAUCACUGACUACACACACAACUAUCACUGACGACACACACAACUAACGUUACCGCUACCUAUGCUACACACAUGCACAACUAUCACUGACGACACACACAACUA